rnacentral:rRNA from 1 species
CUACGGGUCGCAGCAGUGGGGAAUAUUGCACAAUGGGCGCAAGCCUGAUGCAGCCAUGCCGCGUGUAUGAAGAAGGCCUUCGGGUUGUAAAGUACUUUCAGCGGGGAGGAAGGGAGUAAAGUUAAUACCUUUGCUCAUUGACGUUACCCGCAGAAGAAGCACCGGCUAACUCCGUGCCAGCAGCCGCGGUAAUACGGAGGGUGCAAGCGUUAAUCGGAAUUACUGGGCGUAAAGCGCACGCAGGCGGUUUGUUAAGUCAGAUGUGAAAUCCCCGGGCGCAACCUGGGAACUGCAUCUGAUACUGGCAAGCUUGAGUCUCGUAGAGGGGGGUAGAAUUCCAGGUGUAGCGGUGAAAUGCGUAGAGAUCUGGAGGAAUACCGGUGGCGAAGGCGGCCCCCUGGACGAAGACUGACGCUCAGGUGCGAAAGCGUGGGGAGCAAACAGGAUUAGAUACCCUUGUAGUC